rnacentral:rRNA from 1 species
AGUGAACGCUGGCGGCGUGCCUAAUACAUGCAAGUCGAACGGAGAUUAAGUAGCUUGCUAUUUAAUCUUAGUGGCGCACGGGUGAGUAAUAUAUAGCUAACUUGCCCAUUACUAAGGGACAACAGUUGGAAACGACUGCUAAUACCUUAUACUCCGUAUCUAUAUAAGUAGAUACGGGAAAGUUUUUCGGUAAUGGAUAGGGCUAUAUCGUAUCAGCUAGUUGGUAAGGUAAUGGCUUACCAAGGCUAUGACGCGUAACUGGUCUGAGAGGAUGAUCAGUCACACUGGAACUGAGACACGGUCCAGACUCCUACGGGAGGCAGCAGUAGGGAAUAUUGCUCAAUGGGGGAAACCCUGAAGCAGCAACGCCGCGUGGAGGAUGACACUUUUCGGAGCGUAAACUCCUUUUCUUGGGAAAGAAUUAUGACGGUACCCAACGAAUAAGCACCGGCUAACUCCGUG